UCUCAAUUAUUCGGCCCAAUUGAAAAUAAAAAUAAAGGCCCAAAACAAUUUAAACAAAGCCCAAGCUUAAAAUUCGGCCCAAAAGAAAUUAGUGGCCCAAAACAUAGCCCAACUAAAAAAAAAACAAAAGCCCAAACCUCUAUCUCUUUACUCAACUCUCGGUCUUCUUUUUUUUUUCUCACCCACACAAUUUCAUAACUCUCUCUCUCUCAAAGAAAUACACACACAGACGCACGCUUCGGUUCUCUCUCUCUCUCGAUCCCUCUCCAGCCGAGGCGGGCGCCGCCGCCGCUGCCGGCGCGGCCGUGCCUGGCAGAGGGUGGCACACCUUGCCGUCUCACUCUCCUCUCUCUCUCAAGGAGUUGCUCGCCCCUUCCUCUCCAGCCUGCUCGCUCGGCUCCAUCCUCCGCACAGGUCGGCUCCUCCUACCCCGGCAGUGCAGCGGCCGUCGGCUCCGGUUGGCUUCGAUUUUCGACACUUCAAACCUCAGCGUCGUUCUCUCUCCUCAGCGCAGAGCCCCCAAAAUCGUGCCCUAGAGUCAACUACCAGGUUGCUGCCGCCGUUGUCUGGAGCCAUCGCCGCCGUCUGGAGUUGCUGCUGCUCGUCCGAUGGUCAGCGCCGACUGCUGCUGCUUCGCCGGGAGUCGCCGCCGACUGGAGUUGCUGCUCUCGACCUUGCUCUCUGUUUCUCUACUCCCAAGUCAUCUCCCCCUUUCAAUCUAUGGAGCGGAGGAAAAUCCUUACUCCUAAUUCAGAAAUCGCCUCAGCUCGACGCCGCUCUACUAUGAAAUUCCGGCGAGCAGGAGAGUGUCCGACGCCCUCAUCGAUUCUCCGAUGAGUAGUAAAUCAGGGUAGGGCGGUGUCCGCUGCUCCCCUCUUUCACUCGUGUACACGAACGAGGGAAAGGCCGAGUUCUCGGUCCUCUUAGCUCAGGCGAGAGAGUCACCGCCGUCCACCUCUCGUUCGACGGAAUAGUCAAGUCGGCUCCUUCUCGGUACAUUGAAACAGGUGAGUAAGGAAUGAAUGGAGGUGAAUGGAGGAAGGUUGCUGCUGAAUUGUUUGCUUGAAGAAGUGUUGGCUAGUAGCUUUCAAGAAUCGAAGGUGGUGGGGAGAAUGUAGUGGAGGAAAGCAAAAGGUGGUGGGCAAAGGAUUGUAGUGCACACUUUUCCUUAUCUUAUCUUGCUUUGCAACAUUUUGUUUUUUUUUUUU